rnacentral:rRNA from 1 species
CUGGUAGUCCACGCCGUAAACGAUGUCGACUUGGAGGUUGUGCCCUUGAGGCGUGGCUUCCGGAGCUAACGCGUUAAGUCGACCGCCUGGGGAGUACGGCCGCAAGGUUAAAACUCAAAUGAAUUGACGGGGGCCCGCACAAGCGGUGGAGCAUGUGGUUUAAUUCGAUGCAACGCGAAGAACCUUACCUGGUCUUGACAUCCACGGAAGUUUUCAGAGAUGAGAAUGUGCCUUCGGGAACCGUGAGACAGGUGCUGCAUGGCUGUCGUCAGCUCGUGUUGUGAAAUGUUGGGUUAAGUCCCGCAACGAGCGCAACCCUUAUCCUUUGUUGCCAGCGGUCCGGCCGGGAACUCAAAGGAGACUGCCAGUGAUAAACUGGAGGAAGGUGGGGAUGACGUCAAGUCAUCAUGGCCCUUACGACCAGGGCUACACACGUGCUACAAUGGCGCAUACAAAGAGAAGCGACCUCGCGAGAGCAAGCGGACCUCAUAAAGUGCGUCGUAGUCCGGAUUGGAGUCUGCAACUCGACUCCAUGAAGUCGGAAUCGCUAGUAAUCGUGGAUCAGAAUGCCACGGUGAAUACGUUCCCGGGCCUUGUACACACCGCCCGUCACACCAUGGGAGUGGGUUGCAAAAGAAGUAGGUAGCUUAACCUUCGGGAGGGCGCUUACCACUUUGUGAUUCAUGACUGGGGUGAAGUCGUAACAAGGUAACCGUAGGGGAACCUGCGGUUGGAUCACCUCCUUACCUUAAAGAAGC